AUUGAACGCUGGCGGCAUGCUUUACACAUGCAAGUCGAACGGUAACAGCACUUCGGUGGCUGACGAGUGGCGAACGGGUGAGUAAUACAUCGGAACGUGCCUAGUAGUGGGGGAUAACUACUCGAAAGAGUAGCUAGUACCGCAUGAGAUCUAAGGAUGAAAGCAGGGGACCUUCGGGCCUUGCGCUACUAGAGCGGCUGAUGGCAGAUUAGGUAGUUGGUGGGAUAAAAGCUUACCAAGCCGACGAUCUGUAGCUGGUCUGAGAGGACGACCAGCCACACUGGGACUGAGACACGGCCCAGACUCCUACGGGAGGCAGCAGUGGGGAAUUUUGGACAAUGGGCGCAAGCCUGAUCCAGCAAUGCCGCGUGCAGGAUGAAGGCCUUCGGGUUGUAAACUGCUUUUGUACGGAACGAAAAGCCCUCUUCUAAUACAGGAGGGUCAUGACGGUACCGUAAGAAUAAGCACCGGCUAACUACGUG
rnacentral:rRNA from 1 species